rnacentral:sRNA from 1 species
UGCUGUCUGGAGGGGACUCACAAGACCGACGUCAAGAUGAUGCUUUCAAGGGCCAAACCUGCUGUAGGCAGAGGCGUACAGCACACUGACAAAAGAAAGAAGAAAGUUCAAACGUCAUGUUGGGGAAGAAGAAGAGGAUACUAAUUUGUGGAUUGGAUAUUGUGCCUUUCACCUGGGUGACUACAAGAGAGCUCUGGAGGAAUACGAAAAUGCUACAAAAGAGGAAAAUUGUAAUUCUGAAGUCUGGGUGAACCUAGCUUGCACCUACUUCUUUCUUGGGAUGUAUAAACAAGCUGAAGCAGCUGGAUUUAAAGCUUCAAAAAGCCGACUCCAAAACCGCCUCCUCUUCCACUUGGCUCACAAGUUUAAUGAUGAGAAAAAAUUGAUGAGCUUUCAUCAAAAUCUUCAGGAUGUCACAGAAGAUCAACUCAGUUUGGCCUCAAUCCACUAUAUGCGAUCUCACUACCAAGAAGCUAUAGAUAUAUAUAAGCGAAUACUGCUAGAUAACAGGGAAUACCUUGCCCUCAAUGUUUAUGUGGCCCUCUGCUACUAC